GUGCACCAGUCGAGAAACUUCACAAUGUGUGAAAGCACGAUGAGGGAAUCCCAAGUGCUUGCACGUAAGUGUAAGCUGUUUCUCUGUCUAAAACGCAGAGAGAGUAAGGGCUGGGUAAGACGGGUGCCAGCCGCCGCGGUAAUACCUGCAGCUCGAGUGGUGACCGUUAUUAUUGGGCCUAAAACGUCCGUAGCCGGUUUAAUAAAUGCCUGGGUAAAUCGGACCGCUUAACGGUUCGAAUUCCGGGUAGACUGUUAAACUUGAGACCGGGAGAAGUUAGAGGUACUCCUGGGGUAGAGGUGAAAUUCUGUAAUCCUAGGGGGACCACCAGUGGCGAAGGCGUCUAACUAGAACGGGUCUGACGGUGAGGGACGAAGCCCUGGGGCGCAAACGGGGAUUAGAUACCCCGGUAGU
rnacentral:rRNA from 1 species